rnacentral:rRNA from 1 species
AGGAUGAACGCUGGCGGUCUGCUUAACACAUGCAAGUCGAACGGGCGUAGCAAUACGUUAGUGGCGGACGGGUGAGUAACGCGUGAGAAUCUACCUUCAGGACGGAGACAACAGUUGGAAACGACUGCUAACCCCCGAUGUACUGAAAAGGCAAAUAUUUAUAGCCUGAAGAAGAGCUCGCGUCCGAUUAGCUAGUUGGAGAGGUAAAAGCUCACCAAGGCGACGAUCGGUAGCUGGUCUGAGAGGACGAUCAGCCACACUGGGACUGAGACACGGCCCAGACUCCUACGGGAGGCAGCAGUGGGAAUUUCCGCAAUGGGCGAAAGCCUGACGGAGCAAGACCGCGUGGGGGAAGAAGGCUCUUGGGUUGUAAACCCCUUUUCUCUGGGAAGAAGUUGUGAAAGCAGCCUGACGGUACCAGAGGAAUCAGCAUCGGCUAACUCCGUGCCAGCAGCCGC